AAAAACACAGAUUACUAAAAUUCAAUUUUUAGCAUGAUGUUUGUUUUAACAGAGGAGUGAUUCCAGCUCAUUUUAAUUCUUUAAGGAGGAGUUUAUGCAAAUCUGACAUUUCCAGUUUCUUCUUAUAUGAAUCAAAGUUCAGUGAUUCAAUCUGACAAAGAAGCUGCAGACAGAACAAAGACAAAUGACUCCAACAAUGAUCAGACCUGUUUGUUUGCUGCUUUUUCUCUUUUUCUUUGGUGUCUUACCUGGUAUCAGAGGUCAAACACUGACUGAGUCUGAAUCAGUGGUUAAAAGACCUGGAGAAUCCCACAAACUGACUUGUACAUAUUCAGGGUUUAGUAGUGAUCAGCAUAUAGCUUGGAUCAGACAGGCUGCAGGAAAAGGACUGGAAUGGAUUGCUUGGAUCCAGUCUGACAGCAGCUACAUCUACUACUCAGAGUCAGUGAAAAACCGCUUCACCAUCUCCAGAGACAACAGCAGAAAGCAGGUGUAUCUGCAGAUGAACAGUCUGAGAGCUGAGGAUUCUGCUGUUUAUUACUGCGCUCGAGAGACACAGUGACUCAAGAGACACAAACUCUGUACAAAAAC